UACGGGGGGUGCGAGCGUUGUCCGGAAUCACUGGGCGUAAAGGGCGCGUAGGUGGCCUGAUAAGGGUGUGGUGAAAGUCCGGGGCUCAACCCCGGAUCUGCCGUGCCGACUGUUAGGCUAGAGUACUGUAGGGGCAGGCGGAAUUCCGGGUGUAGCGGUGGAAUGCGCAGAUAUCAGGAGGAACACCAAUUGCGAAGGCAGCUCGCUGGGACGUAACUGACGCUGAGACGCGAAAGCGUGGGGAGCAAACAGG
rnacentral:rRNA from 1 species